rnacentral:rRNA from 1 species
AGGUGCGAUCAUACCAGCACUAAUGCACCGGAUCCCAUCAGAACUCCGCAGUUAAGCGUGCUUGGGCGAGAGUAGUACUAGGAUGGGUGACCUCCUGGGAAGUCCUCGUGUUGCACCUU